AUUGAACGCUGGCGGCAGGCCUAACACAUGCAAGUCGAGCGGAGCGGCGGACGGGUGAGUAAUGCCUAGGAAUCUGCCUGGUAGUGGGGGAUAACGUCCGGCAACGGGCGCUAAUACCGCAUACUAGCAGACGAGCCUAGGUCGGAUUAGGUAGUUGGUGGGGGAAAGGCUCACCAAGCCGACGAUCUCUAGCUGGUCUGAGAGGAUGACCAGCCACACUGGAACUGAGAGACGGCCCAGUCUCCUACGGGAGGCAGCAGUGGGGAAUAUUGCGCAAGGGGGGCAACCCUGACGCAGCCAUGCCGCGUGAAUGAAGAAGGCCUUCGGGUUGUAAAGUACUUUCGGUAGCGAGGCGUUACCUACAGAAGAAGCACCGGCUAACUCCGUGCCAGCAGCCGCGGUAAUUC
rnacentral:rRNA from 1 species